rnacentral:lncRNA from 1 species
AUCUACACUGUAAAAAUUUGCUGUAACUCAUGCAGUAAAAUACUGUGAUUUACAACAGUAAUAUGUUGUAAUAACGAUUUUACGAUAAUUAACUGUAUAAGUACGUUGCUGUACAGUAUAUUGCUGUAAACAUCAGUGUCGUAGAGCAUGGGAACAAAUAUCUACAGUAAGCUAGUGUAAAGGAGCGUGCAAAAAGCAUUGUGGGAUACAGCGCACAUGCGCAUUAGGCGGAUCGGCUGCAUAUGCGCGUAUGCGUUGCACGUGAUUGGCUCCCGCGCUAGCCCGCCACGCCGCGCCGCCAUUUUUAAUUUUCUGCAAAGAUUUGAGCUGAGAUAUAUAGCUGAGCUGGCCGGCCUGAUCCUGAGCAACGAAUCUGAAUCUGUUCUGUUCCUGGUCCUGAUCCUCGAGCUGGGAUAUUGAUGACCAAUAAGUCAAUUCCAAGGGGAUCCGAGUAUGCCAUGGAUUACUGCUGAAGUCACACAGUGUGCAUGCUGAAACACUAAUCAGACGGAUGCUCUACAUGGACAUCAUAUACCCAUGUACGUUUGUAAGCUAUGUAAUCAUUCUUCUGGAUCAUUGAAGCGGUUUUCUGAACACUUUUCAGUCCAUAGAAAUGUGGUGAAUUUCGAUUUCCCGUGUGGUGUUCCUGGCUGCAAUCGAACAUUCAGAAAUUAUUCAUCCUUCAAAACCCAUGUGCAUAGGGAUCAUCAACCAUUUUCAAGAAAAAAAGAUGCCCAGUUUUUCUGCGUUUCUACCUGGAAUUGUCCACUCUGUGCUGUAAAAUGUGAGGAAAUCCAUGACAUACUUUCUCAUCUUAGAGUUCAUAUCAAACACGGAGUUGAAAUACGCUGUCCUUUUGCCAAUUGCAAAAAACGUUUUUCAGUGAGGUCGUCUUUUGCGUCACAUAUAUCAAGAGUUCACAAUAAGUUAGACCAGAUUCAGUUAGACUCAACUUCAAGUGAAACUGGUACUGUGUUAACUGAAUCCGCCCAAGAAAAUAAUCAGGAGUUUCCUGGAAGACUGCACUCAAGUGACGAGGAAAGUGUGACAGAUGAUGAAGUAGAUGUAUCCGCUGACUCAUUCAAACACAGCUUAUCCUUGUUUUAUCUGAAGUUGGAGGCAAAAUUACUACUGCCCAACUCUACAAUUCAGGAAAUAAUUGACACAGUUCAGGAUAUUCAUGCAUUAAGCCAACAAAAUUUGAUACCAAAAUU